GCUCUGGUGGCUCAAUCGGAUAGAGCGUUGGACUUUUAAUCCAAAGGUUGCGGGUUCAAGUCCCGCCCAGAGUA
rnacentral:tRNA from 1 species